UUUAUUCUUAUAGUUUAAAUAGAUAAAAUAUUAUAUUGAAAAUAUAAUGAUAUUAAUAUUAAGAAUAA
rnacentral:tRNA from 1 species